rnacentral:rRNA from 1 species
UACGUAGGCGGUUUAUUAAGUCAGAUGUGAAAGCCCCGGGCUUAACCUGGGAACUGCAUUUGAUACUGGUAAACUAGAGUAUUGUAGAGGGGGUAGAAUUCCUAGUGUAGCGGUGAAAUGCGUAGAUAUUAGGAGGAAUACCAGUGGCGAAGGCGGCCCCCUGGACCAAUACUGACGCUGAGGUACGAAAGCGUGGGUAGCGAACA